rnacentral:rRNA from 1 species
CCUACGGGAGGCAGCAGUCGAGAAUCAUUCACAAUGGGGGAAACCCUGAUGGUGCGACGCCGCGUGGGGGAAUGAAGGUCUUCGGAUUGUAAACCCCUGUCAUGUGGGAGCAAAUUAAAAAGAUAGUACCACAAGAGGAAGAGACGGCUAACUCUGUGCCAGCAGCCGCGGUAAUACAGAGGUCUCAAGCGUUGUUCGGAAUCACUGGGCGUAAAGCGUGCGUAGGCUGUUUCGUAAGUCGUGUGUGAAAGGCGCGGGCUCAACCCGCGGACGGCACAUGAUACUGCGAGACUAGAGUAAGGGAGGGGGAACCGGAAUUCUCGGUGUAGCAGUGAAAUGCGUAGAGAUCGAGAGGAACACUCGUGGCGAAGGCGGGUUCCUGGACAUUAACUGACGCUGAGGCACGAAGGCCAGGGGAGCGAAAGGGAUUAGAUACCCCUUGUAGUC